rnacentral:rRNA from 1 species
CCCUUAGAUGUUCUGGGCCGCACGCGCGCUACACUGAUACAUGCAACGAGUUUAUAACCUUGAUCUGACGGUCUGGGUAAUCUUCAAACUGUAUCGUGUUAGGGAUCGAUUCUUGCAAUUUUUAAUCGUAAACGAGGAAUUCCUAGUAAACGCAAGUCAUCAGCUUGCAUUGAUUACGUCCCUGCCCUUUGUACACACCGCCCGUCGACUCUACCGAUUGAAUGGUCCGGUGAAAUCUCGGGACGGCGGCUUGGUCGCUUGCGUCCGACUGCUGAAACUUGAUUAAACCAUAUCAUUUAGAGGAAGGUGAAGUCGUAACA